rnacentral:rRNA from 1 species
UACGUAGGGGGCAAGCGUUAUCCGGAUUUACUGGGUGUAAAGGGGGCGCAGACGGCGAUGCAAGCCAGGAGUGAAAGCCCGGGGCCCAACCCCGGGACUGCUCUUGGAACUGCGUGGCUGGAGUGCAGGAGGGGCAGGCGGAAUUCCUGGUGUAGCGGUGAAAUGCGUAGAUCUCAGGAGGAACACCGGUGGCGAAGGCGGCCUGCUGGACUGCAACUGACGUUGAGGCCCGAAAGCGUGGGGAGCAAACAGG